AGUUCUAGAAUUCCCAGACAGUAGGAUAUAAGUUCAUAAUUCAGGUACCACUGCCUAUUUCUGUUACAGUUACCUGUCUAAAGGAAAAUUACCUACAUGUAUGGUUUUGAAACAAUCUUAUGCUUUUUAAUAAAAGGACGGAGUCUUUUCUUCAAAAACUUUUCAAAAAGGCUGUUUUUUUUCAGCUUCAAUGGAAAGUACCCCUAGG